UGGGGAAUCUUGGACAAUGGGCGCAAGCCUGAUCCAGCCAUGCCGCGUGGAUGAUGAAGGCCUUAGGGUUGUAAAAUCCUUUCGCCGAGGACGAUAAUGACGGUACUCGGAGAAGAAGCUCCGGCUAACUUCGUGCCAGCAGCCGCGGUAAUACGAAGGGGGCUAGCGUUGUUCGGAUUUACUGGGCGUAAAGCGCGUGUAGGCGGGUCGUUAAGUUGGGGGUGAAAUCCCGAGGCUCAACCUCGGAACUGCCUUCAAAACUGGCGACCUGGACCUAAGUAGAGGCAAGUGGAAUUGCGAGUGUAGAGGUGAAAUUCGUAGAUAUUCGCGGGAACACCAGUGGCGAAGGCGACUUGCUGGACUUAUGGUGACGCUGAGACGCGAAAGCGUGGGGAGCAAACAGGAUUAGAUACCCUAGUAGUCCCUGAGCGGGCUGGCAAGGCGCAU
rnacentral:rRNA from 1 species